CAGUAGUGAGGAAAGGUGUAUAGUUAAUAGCAUUACACUGUGACGUUAGCUACAGAAGAAGCACCGGCAAACUCCGUGCCAGCAGCCGCGGUAAUACGGAGGGUGCGAGCGUUAAUCGGAAUUACUGGGCGUAAAGCGCGCGUAGGCGGUUAUUUAAGUGAGGUGUGAAAUCCCUGGGCUCAACCUAGGAACUGCAUUUCAAACUGGAUAACUUGAGUAUGUCAGAGGGUAUUGGAAUUUCCCCGUGUAGCAGUGAAAAUGCGUAGAUAUGGGAAGGAACAUCAGUGGCGAAGGCGAAUACCUGGGAUAAUACUGACGCUGAGGUGCGAAAGCGUGGGGAGCAAACGGGAUUAGAUACCCUGGUAG
rnacentral:rRNA from 1 species